rnacentral:rRNA from 1 species
CACGUAGGAGGCGAGCGUUGUCCGGAAUCAUUGGGCGUAAAGAGCGCGCAGGCGGCUUGGCAAGUCGGGUGUGAAAUCCCGGGGCUCAACCCCGUGACUGCAUCCGAUACUGUCAGGCUAGAGGUAGGUAGGGGAGAUUGGAAUUUACGGUGUAGCAGUGAAAUGCGUAGAUAUCGUAAGGAAGACCAGUGGCGAAGGCGAAUCUCUGGACAGUUACUGACACUGAGGCUCGAAGGCCAGGGGAGCAAACGGG